UCCCGAGUCCUCAACUCCAAACCGCGAUUAGUAGGAGGCCUCUGGUCCCUGCCUGCCCUGGGUGCUCAUGGAACCAGCUGCUGCUCUGCACUUCUCCCUGCCAGCCUCCCUCCUCCUCCUCCUGCUCCUCCUCCUCAGCCUGUGUGCACUGGUCUCAGCCCAGUUUACUGUCGUGGGGCCAGCUAAUCCCAUCCUGGCCAUGGUGGGAGAAAACACUACAUUACGCUGCCAUUUGUCACCCGAGAAAAAUGCUGAGGACAUGGAGGUGCGGUGGUUCCGGUCUCAGUUCUCCCCUGCAGUGUUUGUGUAUAAAGAUGGGAGAGAGAGAACAGAGGAGCAGAUGGAGCAGUACCGGGGAAGAAUCACCUUUGUGAGCAAAGACAUCAGCAGGGGCAGCGUGGCCCUGGUCAUACACAACGUCACAGCCCAGGAGAAUGGCAUCUACCGCUGUUACUUCCAAGAAAGCAGAUCCUACGAUGAGGCCAUCCUACGCCUCAUGGUGGCAGGUGUGUCACUUCAUUUUGCUUUAUUACUUUUGCACAGUGUGACUUUUGGGGAAAGUUUCUCCCUUAACAUCAGGCCCAUUGCAGACCAAUGGAUUUCUAUCUGGCGUCCCCUUUCCACAGAGAGAGUGGCCUCCUCUUGCACAAAGGCCACAUGAGUGGGUUUGCCCUGCUAAGCUAUGGGUUUCAUUUCUUUU
rnacentral:sRNA from 1 species